GACGAACGCUGGCGGCGUGCUUAACACAUGCAAGUCGAGCGGUAAGGCCCUUUCGGGGGUACACGAGCGGCGAACGGGUGAGUAACACGUGGGUGACCUGCCCUCAGCUCUGGGAUAAGCCUGGGAAACCGGGUCUAAUACCGGAUAUGACUCCAUGACGCAUGUUGUGGGGUGGAAAGCCUUGUGCGGCUGAGGAUGGGCCCGCGGCCUAUCAGCUUGUUGGUGGGGUGAUGGCCUACCAAGGCGACGACGGGUAGCCGGCCUGAGAGGGCGACCGGCCACACUGGGACUGAGACACGGCCCAGACUCCUACGGGAGGCAGCAGUGGGGAAUCUUGCGCAAUGGGCGAAAGCCUGGCGCAGCGACGCCGCGUGAGGGAUGACGGCCU
rnacentral:rRNA from 1 species